AGAGUUACGUGGAAAUCGUAGUGAGUUUAACAAAUGCUCGGCGACUAUUCUCAUUAGAUGUUUAUAGUCUGGAAUGGCCACUUGGCGUGUCGAUGUGGUUUAAACGGACAUAGGAUUGGUGGAUAGUGGGGAAAAAAAAAUCACAGGAUUACUUUGCCACAUCCAAGCGUUGUACAGAAGGGUCUCUUCUGUCACUCACCAGUAUUGAAACAUUAGGUUUGUUUACUCCCGUAAAGAACGAAGUGGUGUAAAAAUCAGAUCCACGUUGGCAAUAUUAACAGCAGGCGAUACACUUUGAUUUGAUCGAAACAGAAAAGGGAUCAUUAGCACAAAUGCCACGUUUAUAAAGCGUAUUGAGUAAAAAUGUGUUAUUCUGUUUUAUGGCUGGAUGCACAAUGGUGUCUCAGAGGCUAUCUUUCAUAAUGGCAGAAGGGUAUAGAGCUGAACAAUUUAACAUCCGUGGCAGAGCGACGGGCACUGAGCAGUCUCCUGUCAAUAAUGGAGAAUGGAGAAUCCACUGAACAAGAUCAUCACCAGACAGAGAAUCAGCUUUAGCGACAGACCGUCCUGCUCCACUGACAGACUGAGGAGAUCGUUCCUCCCUCACACUAUGCGACUCUUCAAUUCCAACCUGGGGGAGGUUGGGGGCUCAGGGGGUUGGGAAAUAAAACGCUAACAUUAUUUAAAGUUA